ACUCAACAUAAAAUAGACCUGAGAGAUGAAGAGGCACCAGAGCUCACACUGAACCACGAUGAAGACUUUGUGUGUUUCUGCUGUUGUUGUGCUGAGUCUCAUCUCAGUGUGUCAGGCUGCAUCACUGACAUGUCAGAAGCUGGUGAAACCAGUAGACAAAGACCCUGAUGUUUCUGGAACAUGGCACUUCAUUGCUUUGUCCACUGAGCACUGUUGGUUGACAACAUUAAUUAACAUAUUUUUUUGGCCAAGUGCUACAGUGGAAAUUACAGCUAGGGGCACACCAAACGACUACGAUGGGAAUAUUAGGGUUAAAAUGUAUGGAUUGUGCGGCAAUGAGUCAGAGUCGUUUCACUAUGCAAACCACAGCAUGUUUGAUAUUGGCAGCAACAAUGCUCCAAUUGGUGAAGGAGAUCUGCUGCUGCAGACUGGUUGUCCUGACUGCUUCGUUGUAAAAGGGGUUGAAUUCGUCAGCACCCUUUCACUCUUCAGUAGGAGAAAGAGCAUAGAUGCUGCUGAACUGAAGGAGUUUGAGGCACAAGCCCAGUGUCUGGGCUGGUCCAAACCGCUGGUCUUCAACACAGAUCACGAUUAUGAAAACUGUGUGUCUACUGAUAAUGAUGACAUUAAUGAGGCGGCUAAAACCACCUUCAUUACCAACAUGUAUGAGAGGAUGAAAAACAUGCAGCACGGACUAACCGAGUGCAUCAAAGACCGUCUUCUUUCCUACCUUCCUACUUCCAUUUUUCAGAAGUGAAUAGAUGAGCAAUGAUGUUUAGAUCAUGUAAGACAUGAACGUCACUUUUCAUCUCUUGACUGGAAUUCAAAUAAAGACAGGCUUUCUAUUUCA